rnacentral:rRNA from 1 species
AUACGGAGGAUGCAAGCGUUAUCCGGAUUUAUUGGGUUUAAAGGGUGCGUAGGCGGUUUGCUAAGCGGGAGGUGAAAUGCCGGCGCUCAACGUCGGAAGUGCCUCCCGAACUGGUGGACUGGAAUGACUCUGCCGUGGGAGGAAUGUGUAGUGUAGCGGUGAAAUGCUUAGAGAUUACACAGAACACCGAUUGCGAAGGCAUCUCACGAAGGGUUGAUUGACGCUGAGGCACGAAAGCGUGGGGAUCAAACAGGAUUAGAUACCCUGGUAGUCCACGCAGUAAACGAUGAUGGCUAACCGCUGGUUUUUUCGGAUCAGUGGCCAAGCGAAAGCGAUAAGCCAUCCACCUGGGGAGUACGACCGCAAGGUUGAAACUCAAAUGAAUUGACGGGG